rnacentral:rRNA from 1 species
GAUGAACGCUGGCGGCGUGCCUAAUACAUGCAAGUCGAGCGAACAGAUGAGGAGCUUGCUCCUCUGACGUUAGCGGCGGACGGGUGAGUAACACGUGGAUAACCUACCUAUAAGACUGGGAUAACUUCGGGAAACCGGAGCUAAUACCGGAUAAUAUAUUGAACCGCAUGGUUCAAUAGUGAAAGACGGUUUUGCUGUCACUUAUAGAUGGAUCCGCGCCGCAUUAGCUAGUAGGUAAGGUAACGGCUUACCAAGGCAACGAUGCGUAGCCGACCUGAGAGGGUGAUCGGCCACACUGGAACUGAGACACGGUCCAGACUCCUACGGGAGGCAGCAGUAGGGAAUCUUCCGCAAUGGGCGAAAGCUUGACGGAGCAACGCCGCGUGAGUGAUGAAGGUCUUCGGAUCGUAAAACUCUGUUAUUAGGGAAGAACAAAUGUGUAAGUAACUAUGCACGUCUUGACGGUACCUAAUCAGAAAGCCACGGCUAACUACGUG